GCGGGCGAGUGACCAGUCCAACCGCCCCCCGUCGGAUCAGAGGAGCCGCAGAGGCAGCACUAGCGCCAGCUCCAGCGCCGGGAGCGGCCUAGCUCUUGGGAUCCUCUUCCAGGAAGCCAGCAGAGCCGCUGGUGGAGGCCCCGGAACCUCCACGCUGGCCUUGACCUUGGCCCUCGGGGCUUCUCUGCCACGUCGAGGGGCUGCGCUGGCGGCCUCGCGAGACUUCCUGCGGGCCUGUCUCACCUCAGCUGUCAUCAUGUCUUACACCACGCGUGCUGUAGGGAACGUCCACCGCAAGGCCCGCACGUCGCCUUACCCGCAGUCCACGGUGGAGCGGUGUCACGUCCCCGACGACAAAGUAGCCUGGUUGGUUGAGUGGCGGGAGUAUAAGCCCGUGGAGUACACGGCGGCCGCCGUCCUGGCCGGACCUUCGUGGGCAGAUCCCCAGAUAGGGGAAAGGAGUUUUUCUCCCAAGUUCAACGAGAAGGAUGGCCUCGUUAACCGCAAAAGCCACAAUGGCCCCUAUGAGAUCGAAAACGGACGGCCCAGAAAUCCUGUGGGACGGACGGGACUCGCUGGCCGGGGACUUUUGGGACGUUGGGGCCCAAACCACGCAGCAGACCCCGUCAUUACCCGAUGGAAAAGGGACAGCUAUGGAAAUAAGGUCUCCCACUCUGUUUCUGGAAAAAAUAUCCUACAGUUUGUAGCCAUCAAGCGGAAAGACUGUGGAGAGUGGGCGAUCCCAGGCGGCAUGGUGGAUCCGGGAGAGAAAAUCAGUGCUACCCUGAAACGAGAGUUUGGUGAAGAAGCAAUGAAUUCCUUAGAGAAGUCCAAGGCUGAAAAGAAAGAGCUGGAGGAACAGUUGCACAAACUCUUCAGCCAGGAGCAUUUAGUAGUUUAUAAGGGAUAUGUGGAUGACCCUCGAAACACGGAUAAUGCAUGGAUGGAGACCGAAGCUGUGAACUAUCAUGAUGAAACAGGUGAGACGAUGGAUAAUCUGACUCUGGAAGCAGGAGAUGAUGCUGGGAAGGUUAAAUGGGUGGAAAUCAGUGAUAAACUCAAACUUUAUGCCAGUCACUCCCAAUUCAUCGAACUUGUGGCUGAGAAGCGAGGAGCUCACUGGAGUGAGGACUGAGAGGCCCUGGCUGCCAUGGAGGAUACAGGAAACUCCAGGUAUACUUAAGGUCUUCAAAUAAACAUCUGUAGGUCCAGGGAAAGAGCUCAGAACAUUCAUUUUAAAAGGUCACAAGUUUGACUUCAAAGAAGUUCUACCAGAAGACAUCUAUGAUUCUUUGCAGAGGUGGGGGACUCGGUGUGGAUCAUUGCAUAUAACGUCAGAAUUUUUUAUUGAACUGGUUGGUUUUUCUGUGCUUUCCUCCCCCUUUCAAAACAAAACAAAACCUUUAUUAUAAGGAAUGUCUGUCUGGGAGGAGAAGGUGGUCUGGGAAAAUAAAAAGACAAGUCACAUCCUAAACCAAUUGUAUUUGCCCUUGAGUCAGAGAUUGGUAUUUUAAACAAUAGAGUGAAAUGAGAAAGAGAAGAAAAACUUUUUAGCCACAAGAUAAGUAUAAAUAACAUUUCGUACAUGUUAUUUUUGUAUUUGUCUUAGCCCAAAUUAAAUAACUGUUACUCUUUUAGUACUUGUUGGCCAAAAUAAACGCCUAGCCAACAAGUUCCUUUGCUUUUUUCUUAGUUAAUUCUCUCCUAACAAUUUAUUCUGCUUAGUUUUUCUCCACCUGAAUUUUGUAGUAUUGUUAAUUUCAUGCCAGGACAUGUGCACCAGGAGCCAUAACAUUAGCAGUGGUCUAAUGUAGCCUGAUUUUUGUUUUGUUUUGUUUCAAAAUUAGUCUCAUAUAGUCAUGUUAAAACUGCUCUUAAGAACUGAAGCUGAAUGUUUUUAACUUUAGAGCAAUCAACUGAAAAAAAAAAUCCAGUAAUUAUUUUAUUAAGUGGUAGUAAAACUAGUAUGUACAUUGUUUCCAUUUUAGAAAAUCCUCAAUAAAAACUUGUCUAGGCAUGAAAAAAAAUGUGAUGUGCUUGCUUGAGGAUACUAUAUUUCUGGGCCUUAGUGGUUUUUAAGGGGGAGGAUUAUGCUGUAUAAGGAAUUUAUGAUUUGGGUAUGGGGUUAAACUAAAUAAAUUCUGAGGUGCCAUCAAUUAGGACCUGGAUUUGAGUUCCAUUUUUGCCAUCUUGUGGCCCUAACUAUACAUUAGUUCCCUCAUGUAUAAAAUGGGGAUAAUACCUCCCUUACCUGCUUCAUUAGAUUUUUAUCAGGAUCUCAUGGAAUUUAAUACAUAUGAACAUUUGAAAAUGCUAAAGUACUCUACAGAUGUAGUGAUUAUCUUUAUUGUGACUCCUGCUUACAUCUAUUGUUCUAGCUAUACUGAAUGAACAGCAACUACAGGCUGGUAACUCCCUCCCAUCUGCUUAAUCCAUGAAAGAUUGGGGUAAUGUAAACUGUUUUAAAAAAAAGGAAGCUUUAUUAUUUGCCUCAAAGAGGAAGUGUGGGGUUAGUGGGUAGAGUUGGCCUUGUCAGGAGGACCUGAAUUCAAGCACAUACUGAAGGUGUCACUGUUCUAAACCAUCUCAGGCAACUCCCAGAGACUUGUUACAGAACAUAAUGUUGAUUGCUUUGAUGCAGACCAGAGCAUGGGUAUUGAACUAGGAGAGAUAGAGGUAAGCUAAGAAAACAAAGUCGAAUUUUGACCUCUAUAUAUGUGGCAAUGAAUUUUAGCUUUUAGUUACUUGUUUUUAAAAUUUGGAAAAUUUUCUUGACUGUUUAAUUCUGUAUGGUGACACUUUUACUUAACAUAGAAAUAUCAAUUAAUUUAAUUUUUCGUACUUGAGUAACUAGGUUCCUUCCUGAGAAAAGAUGUAUGCUUUGUUGUUAUUGUACUUGAAUGUUGCAGAGAACAACAAAAAAGUAAUUUCAGGAAUUAAAAUUUCCUUUGGGUUAUUUCAGCA